rnacentral:rRNA from 1 species
CACGUAGUUAGCCGUGGCUUUCUGAUUAGGUACCGUCAGGAUGUGCACAGUUACUUACACAUUUGUUCUUCCCUAAUAACAGAGUUUUACGAGCCGAAACCCUUCAUCACUCACGCGGCGUUGCUCCGUCAGGCUUUCGCCCAUUGCGGAAGAUUCCCUACUGCUGCCUCCCGUAGGAGUCUGGACCGUGUCUCAGUUCCAGUGUGGCCGAUCACCCUCUCAGGUCGGCUACGUAUCGUCGCCUUGGUAAGCCGUUACCUUACCAACUAGCUAAUACGGCGCGGGUCCAUCUAUAAGUGAUAGCAAAACCAUCUUUCACUUUAGAACCAUGCGGUUCUAAAUGUUAUCCGGUAUUAGCUCCGGUUUCCCGAAGUUAUCCCAGUCUUAUAGGUAGGUUACCCACGUGUUACUCACCCGUCCGCCGCUAACUUCAAAGGAGCAAGCUCCUUAUCUGUUCGCUCGACUUGCAUGUAUUAGGCACGCCGCCAGCGUUCAUCCUGAGCCAGGAUCAAACUCU